UGGGGAAUAUUGCACAAUGGGCGCAAGCCUGAUGCAGCCAUGCCGCGUGUAUGAAGAAGGCCUUCGGGUUGUAAAGUACUUUCAGUCGGGAGGAAGGUGGUAAGGUUAAUAACCUUAUCAAUUGACGUUACCGACAGAAGAAGCACCGGCUAACUCCGUGCCAGCAGCCGCGGUAAUACGGAGGGUGCAAGCGUUAAUCGGAAUUACUGGGCGUAAAGCGCACGCAGGCGGUUGAUUGAGUCAGAUGUGAAAUCCCCGGGCUCAACCUGGGAACUGCAUUCGAAACUGGCAGGCUAGAGUCUUGUAGAGGGGGGUAGAAUUCCAGGUGUAGCGGUGAAAUGUGUAGAGAUCUGGAGGAAUACCGGUGGCGAAGGCGGCCCCCUGGACAAAGACUGACGCUCAGGUGCGAAAGCGUGGGGAGCAAACAGG
rnacentral:rRNA from 1 species